CCCCCCAGGGCACAUUCAAGUUGGCAGAACAAUCACAUUGGGGGGCUCUGGAACCAAGUGUGGGGAGUUCGAUUCCUGGUUGGAGCAGCCAAGUGAUGUAAUAACCAGAGGAAGGAUUGGAGCAGUUUGGUGAUGUAAUAACCAUGGAGGAGGGUCCCUUUGGGGAAGGAGUAAAAGCCAUGUGGGAACCUGGGAACCAACAAGGGCACAACCUGCGAUUUACCUCCACUAGUCACUGAGGGGCCGGGGGCUAGAGGUCCAGGAUUUAGUCCGG
rnacentral:lncRNA from 1 species